rnacentral:lncRNA from 1 species
CAGCAAGCGAGGAAACACAGAUCCAGAUCAGCCUUCAAAGAAAGACAGAGGCAAAAAGUGUAUCACCCUGCAAAGCAAUGAAGUUGGAAACAUCUUUCAAAUGAGGGCAUGCACAUGAUCUGAGGAGUUCAUAAUUUUCUACAAAAAGAAUAAUUUGACUUCUUACACCAGCCUUGUAGUUGAUACUAAUUGUCAAAACUCUACCAUCAUCAAGCAAGAGACAUUCAUGGUUCAGUGAUGCUGAGUGACCCCAUGGAUGAGCAAAUCCUAGCUGUUUUCCAGUGCAGAGCACUGUUGCAAGAUAGAGAAGCUCCUUAUAAACGUGGGUGUCUGUCAUGUAGGCACUGAAAGAAAAAAGUUGAAAUACAGACCAUUUUCUAGUAUGCUAUGAAUGAGAAAUACUCCUGAUGAAAGAAGAUUAUUAUACUUGCCUUCAGACUCGGAGAAUAGAUUGCUGCUAAACAUAGUGAAGGUCAGA